rnacentral:rRNA from 1 species
AUGUUAUUACGUAGAAGUGAGUCAUAUGUGUGUGCCUAUGCCAAUCAUUGUACCACGGGAGAGUUCUCAAAAUCAGUAAAUAUGCCCAUCUGCUUGCCUACAAGAAUAUUUAUUCACAUCAUUUCUGUUUUGUGGUUUUCUGAAUUUGCUUCCUUGGAACACGGCGCUAUUAUUAUGUUUUAUGUUGCAGUGUUAUUCAUUAUCUUUAUUUUGUUGUGGAUGACAGUACACCCUGUUUCUUGGAAGCUGAAUCUCAUCUUAUCUGUCAAUCUGAAUUUUAUUAUGGAACAUUUGUAUUGUCCCUGA